rnacentral:tRNA from 1 species
ACCGGUAUUGUGUAAAGGUAGCACAGCAGACUCUGACUCUGUAUGUCGGGGUUCGAAUCCCUGUACCGGUGUCA